UGAGUAACCUGCCCUUCACUCUGGGAUAACUCCGGGAAACCGGGGCUAAUACUGGAUAUGAUUCGAACAGGCAUCUGUUUCGGGUGGAAAGAUUUAUUGGUGGAGGAUGGACUCGCGGCCUAUCAGCUUGUUGGUGAGGUAAUGGCUCACCAAGGCGACGACGGGUAGCCGGCCUGAGAGGGCGAUCGGCCACACUGGGACUGAGACACGGCCCAGACUCCUACGGGAGCA
rnacentral:rRNA from 1 species